UCUAGGCAAAAGAAAGAGGAAAUAACAUUAGUUGCUGCCAUGCACCUCAAACUAUGCAACUGAAUUUGGUGAGCGCGAGUGGGAGAAUCUCCAUGCUACAACACUUUGGACCCCUUCAAAGAAAUUCAAACUCCUGUGUUGUAUAAUCAGUGACAGUGCACCCCAAAGUUGCCAACUAGGCUACCCCAAGUACUACAUCAGCCAUGUGGAAAGGUAUG
rnacentral:lncRNA from 1 species